rnacentral:rRNA from 1 species
UACGUAGGGGGCAAGCGUUGUCCGGAUUUAUUGGGCGUAAAGAGCUCGUAGGUGGUUCGGUAAGUCGGAUGUGAAAUCUCCAGGCUCAACCUGGAGGGGUCAUUCGAUACUGCCGUGACUAGAGGUCGGUAGGGGAGUGUGGAAUUCCUGGUGGAGCGGUGAAAUGCGUAGAUAUGCGGAGGAACACCGAUGGCGAAGGCAAUCCCCUGGACCUGUACUGACGCUCAUGCACGAAAGCGUGAGGAGCAAACAGG